AUGACCCCGCGCGUGCCGCCGUACCGCCACCAACCGGCGCACCUCGUUCUCACCGACGCUGUUGCUGCCUGGCACCCCUUCCACAAGAAGCCCUGCCUCUCCGACCGCUCCACUGCCCCCCCAUCUGCUCACCAUGCUGACGCAGCCGCCGCCGGCGCGGAAACCACGACCCCUCCUCCUUCCGCAGUUGGCAGCGGAGGAUCCUUCCGGUUGCUCGGGCUCCGCAAGCGCCGGCGCCGUGGAGGAAUCUCGCGGUCGGUCUCAGGUCGCAGCAGCGACCGCCGGAGAUCCGGCACGUGCUCCGACUUCCAUGUAACGUGCGGUCCAGGUGGUGGCGGCGCAACGGACUCCAGUGGCGAGAUGUGGGCAUCGGAUGUUGGGGAGUUGCGGGCGAGGGACGUUCCUAUGGCGCCGGAGUUUGCAUCGGCACCAAUUGGUCUGGCUGGAUCGGGGGCAGGUGGGACGGCCGCCGGGGUUGAGCUGGCAUCGGCUGAGUCCGGCUAUGGCAGCGAGCCUGGCUACCGUGGAGAUGUUGAGCUUGGUUACGGGGAUGAGAUAGACGAAGAGGAGGAGGACGGGAGGCAGCAGGUGUUCUUCUGGGGCGGUGAGAUCGGAGAUUGCAUCGCAGAUAUGGAUAAGAUGGUCAUUGUUGGUGAUAGUAGUUUUGGGGAGCAGAAGAGUCAUCACCGAUGCAGGCGCAAGAAGCAUGAUGUGAGGAUGUUGGAUGCUUUGAGAUGA
rnacentral:rRNA from 1 species